rnacentral:rRNA from 1 species
UACGAAGGGUGCAAGCGUUGCUCGGAAUCACUGGGCGUAAAGGGUGCGUAGGCGGGUCUUUAAGUCAGGGGUGAAAUCCUGGAGCUCAACUCCAGAACUGCCUUUGAUACUGAAGAUCUUGAGUUCGGGAGAGGUGAGUGGAACUGCGAGUGUAGAGGUGAAAUUCGUAGAUAUUCGCAAGAACACCAGUGGCGAAGGCGGCUCACUGGCCCGGUACUGACGCUGAGGUGCGAAAGCGUGGGGAGCAAACAGG